rnacentral:lncRNA from 1 species
AUGGUCACUAGGUUCGGAAGCCAAAUCGGCCUCAAAAUCCUUGCAUUUCUUGACAGGAUUCUCGAGACUUGCCCCUGAAGAGGUAGACCAUUCUCCGACCGAAUCAAUGGACCCUGCCAUUAAAGAAGUUCAAAAGGAAAGAUCGGGACUCAGAAGCAAAAAGCAAAAGAUCAAAAUAAACAUGAAAAUAAAUGGAUGAAAAAGAACGAUCAAAGAAAACCCACCUCGAU